rnacentral:rRNA from 1 species
CCUACGGGAGGCAGCAGUGGGGAAUAUUGGACAAUGGGGGGAACCCUGAUCCAGCCAUGCCGCGUGUGUGAAGAAGGCCCUCGGGUUGUAAAGCACUUUCAGUGAGGAAGAACGCCUGGUGGUUAAUACCCAUCAGGAAAGACAUCACUCACAGAAGAAGCACCGGCUAACUCCGUGCCAGCAGCCGCGGUAAUACGGAGGGUGCGAGCGUUAAUCGGAAUUACUGGGCGUAAAGCGCGCGUAGGUGGCUUGAUAAGCCGGUUGUGAAAGCCCCGGGCUCAACCUGGGAACGGCAUCCGGAACUGUCAAGCUAGAGUGCAGGAGAGGAAGGUAGAAUUCCCGGUGUAGCGGUGAAAUGCGUAGAGAUCGGGAGGAAUACCAGUGGCGAAGGCGGCCUUCUGGACUGACACUGACACUGGGGUGCGAAAGCGUGGGUAGCAAACAGGAUUAGAUACCCGUGUAGUC